UCAGCUGCCCAAAGGAAGUGACAUCAUUCUGCUGGAAUGGAUUGUUUCUACUCAUUCCUGUUAUUGUAAGUGCAGUUCUCAGUGAGGGCUUUUCCUCUGACUGUCCUCUCAAAUUCUUUACACUCAAGUCUGAGUCAUGCUGCGAUGACAGAGUCUGUUUCAGAGGUUUUUGUGAAGGGACCGAACAGAACAGCAAGGUGGAAAGGGUCACAAAGCUCCAACGAGGCUAGCACUCGACCAAACACCACGGCCAAAGCGCAACGUGCCUAUUGAGAGGCGUACCGAAGACGUCAGGCGCCGAGCUAUUCUAGGAGCAGCGGCAGGAUGACAACACGCGACUUGACAGGGUGCGCUCUGAUCGUGACACACUCUCCUUCCAUCGUUACGUCUCAGGUGGGGCAUGUAACAGAACUGGGGAGUGGCUUGAGGCGGAUGGUUGCCAUAGCAUACAAGAAGCUUUGGGUUAGGUAGCCAACCUGCAGUUGAUGACCUCCUAACAGACAUGGUCUCUGCGGUCCACUUUCACCCUAUUGUGUCAAACAAUCCAAACAACAAUCCUGUGGUGGCGCUGCACCAAGAACUACUCAAGAAAGAGCCU